rnacentral:rRNA from 1 species
CAGUCGCCGCGGGAAUACGUAGGGUGCAAGCGUUAAUCGGAAUUAUUGGGCGUAAAGCGAGUGCAGACGGUUACUUAAGCCAGAUGUGAAAUCCCCAAGCUUAACUUGGGACGUGCAUUUGAAACUGGGUGACUAGAGUGUGUCAGAGGGAGGUAGAAUUCCACAUGUAGCGGUGGAAUGCGUAGAGAUGUGGAGGAAUACCGAUGGCGAAGGCAGCCUCCUGGGAUAACACUGACGUUGAGGCUCGAAAGCGUGGGGGGCAAACAGGAUUAGAUACCCCCGUAGUCCCUGUCUCUUAUAC